rnacentral:tRNA from 1 species
GACCGAAUGGUGUAGUGGUUAGUGACACUGACUGCUGUGCUGAAGGUCCCGGGUUCGAUCCCCGGUCUGGGCA